GGACGAACGCUGGCGGCGUGCCUAAUACAUGCAAGUUGAGCGCUGAAGGUUGGUACUUGUACCAACUGGAUGAGCAGCGAACGGGUGAGUAACGCGUGGGGAAUCUGCCUUUGAGCGGGGGACAACAUUUGGAAACGAAUGCUAAUACCGCAUAAAAACUUUAAACACAAGUUUUAAGUUUGAAAGAUGCAAUUGCAUCACUCAAAGAUGAUCCCGCGUUGUAUUAGCUAGUUGGUGAGGUAAAGGCUCACCAAGGCGAUGAUACAUAGCCGACCUGAGAGGGUGGUCGGCCAACUUGGGACUGAGACACGGCCCAAACUCCUAAGGGAGGCAGCAGUAGGGGAUCUUCGGCAAUGGACGAAAGUCUGACCGAGCAACGCCGCGGGAGUGAAGAAGGUUUUCGGAUCGUAAAACUCUGUUGGUAGAGAAGAACGUUGGUGAGAGUGGAAAGCUCAUCAAGUGACGGUAACUACACAGAAAGGGACGGCUAACUACGUG
rnacentral:rRNA from 1 species